GAUGAAGAACGUAGUGAAAUGCGAUACGUAAUGUGAAUUGCAGAAUUCAGUGAAUCAUCGAGUCUUUGAACGCACAUUGCGCCCCCUGGUAUUCCGGGGGGCAUGCCUGUCCGAGCGUCAUUGCUGCCCUCAAGCCCGGCUUGUGUGUUGGGUCUCGUCCCCCUUCCCGGGGGGACGGGCCCGAAAGGCAGCGGCGGCACCGUGUCCGGUCCUCGAGCGUAUGGGGCUUUGUCACCCGCUCUGUAGGCCCGGCCGGCGCUUGCCGAUCAACCAAAACUUUUUUCCAGGUUGACCUCGGAUCAGGUAGGGAUACCCGCUGAACUUAAGCAUAUCAAUAAGCGGAGGA
rnacentral:misc_RNA from 1 species